UCAAGUAAUUAAGUGCAUGUGGUGGAUGCCUUGGCAGUCAGAGGCGAUGAAAGACGUGAUAGCCUGCGAAAAGCUCCGGGGAGGCGGCAAAUAUCCUUUGAUCCGGAGAUGUCUGAAUGGGGGAACCCACCUACUUUAAGGUAGGUAUUGCAACAUGAAUACAUAGUGUUGCAAGGCGAACGAGGGGAAGUGAAACAUCUCAGUACCCUUAGGAAAAGAAAUCAAUUGAGAUUCCCUCAGUAGCGGCGAGCGAACGGGGAUCAGCCCAUUAAGUUAUGUGUGUUUUAGUGGAACGCUCUGGGAAGUGCGAACGUAGAGGGUGAUAUUCCCGUACACGAAAGGGCACACAUAAUGAUGACGAGUAGGGCGAGGCACGUGAAACCUUGUCUGAAUAUGGGGGGACCAUCCUCCAAGGCUAAAUACUCCUGACUGACCGAUAGUGAACCAGUACCGUGAGGGAAAGGCGAAAAGAACCCCUGUGAGGGGAGUGAAAUAGAUCCUGAAACCGCAUGCAUACAAGCAGUGGGAGCACCUUCGUGGUGUGACUGCGUACCUUUUGUAUAAUGGGUCAGCGACUUAUAUUCAGUAGCGAGGUUAACCGUAUAGGGGAGCCGUAGAGAAAUCGAGUCUUAAUAGGGCGUUUAGUUGCUGGGUAUAGACCCGAAACCAGGCGAUCUAUCCAUGAGCAGGUUGAAGGUUGGGUAACACUAACUGGAGGACCGAACCCACUGUCGUUGAAAAGCCAGGGGAUGACUUGUGGAUAGGGGUGAAAGGCUAAUCAAGCCUGGUGAUAGCUGGUUCUCCCCGAAAGCUAUUUAGGUAGCGCCUCGGACGAAUACCAUAGGGGGUAGAGCACUGUUUCGGCUAGGGGGUCAUCCCGACUUACCAAACCGAUGCAAACUCCGAAUACCUAUGAGUACUAUCCGGGAGACAGACUGCGGGUGCUAACGUCCGUAGUCAAGAGGAAAACAAUCCAGACCGCCAGCUAAGGCCCCAAAAUCAUAGUUAAGUGGGAAACGAUGUGGGAAGGCAUAGACAGCUAGGAGGUUGGCUUAGAAGCAGCCACCCUUUAAAGAAAGCGUAAUAGCUCACUAGUCGAGUCGGCCUGCGCGGAAGAUGUAACGGGGCUAAAACUAUGUGCCGAAGCUGCGGAUUUGACAUUAGUCAAGUGGUAGGGGAGCGUUCUGUAAGCCGAUGAAGGUGUAUUGAGAAGCAUGCUGGAGGUAUCAGAAGUGCGAAUGCUGACGUGAGUAACGACAAAACGGGUGAAAAACCCGUUCGCCGAAAGACCAAGGGUUCCAGUCCAACGUUAAUCGGGGCUGGGUGAGUCGACCCCUAAGGCGAGGCCGAAAGGCGUAGUCGAUGGGAAAAUGGUUAAUAUUCCAUUACUUCUGUGUAAUGCGAUGAGAGGACGGAGAAGGCUAAAUCAGCCUGGCGUUGGUUGUCCAGGUGAAAGGAUGUAGGCAUGUAUCUUAGGCAAAUCCGGGGUACUCUAUGCUGAGAUCUGAUAGCAAGCUGUACUUGUACAGCGAAGUGGUUGAUGCCAUGCUUCCAGGAAAAGUCUCUAAGCUUCAGUUACACAGGAAUCGUACCCGAAACCGACACAGGUGGUCAGGUCGAGUAGACCAAGGCGCUUGAGAGAACUCUGCUGAAGGAACUAGGCAAAAUGGUACCGUAACUUCGGGAGAAGGUACGCUGUUGUUGGUGAUGGAACUCGCUUCCUGAGCUGACGACAGCCGCAGAAACCAGGCCGCUGCAACUGUUUAUUAAAAACAUAGCACUCUGCAAACACGAAAGUGGACGUAUAGGGUGUGAUGCCUGCCCGGUGCUGGAAGGUUAAUUGAUGGGGUUAGCGUAAGCGAAGCUCUUGAUCGAAGCCCCAGUAAACGGCGGCCGUAACUAUAACGGUCCUAAGGUAGCGAAAUUCCUUGUCGGGUAAGUUCCGACCUGCACGAAUGGCAUAAUGAUGGCGGCGCUGUCUCCAGCAGAGGCUCAGUGAAAUCGAAAUCGCUGUGAAGAUGCAGUGUACCCGCGGCUAGACGGAAAGACCCCGUGAACCUUUACUGCAGCUUGACACUGAACUUUGACCUUACUUGUGUAGGAUAGGUGGGAGGCUUUGAAGCUGGAACGCUAGUUCCAGUGGAGCCGUCCUUGAAAUACCACCCUGGUAAUGUUGAGGUUCUAACUCUGUCCCGUGAUCCGGGACGAGGACCGUGUCUGGUGGGUAGUUUGACUGGGGCGGUCUCCUCCUAAAGAGUAACGGAGGAGUACGAAGGUGCGCUCAGCGUGGUCGGAAAUCACGCGUAGAGUAUAAAGGCAAAAGCGCGCUUAACUGCGAGACCCACAAGUCGAGCAGGUACGAAAGUAGGUCUUAGUGAUCCGGUGGUUCUGUAUGGAAGGGCCAUCGCUCAACGGAUAAAAGGUACUCUGGGGAUAACAGGCUGAUACCGCCCAAGAGUUCAUAUCGACGGCGGUGUUUGGCACCUCGAUGUCGGCUCAUCUCAUCCUGGGGCUGAAGCAGGUCCCAAGGGUAUGGCUGUUCGCCAUUUAAAGAGGUACGCGAGCUGGGUUUAGAACGUCGUGAGACAGUUCGGUCCCUAUCUACCGUGGGCGCUGGAAAUUUGAGAGGAUCUGCUCCUAGUACGAGAGGACCAGAGUGGACGAACCUCUGGUGUACCGGUUGUGACGCCAGUCGCAUCGCCGGGUAGCUAUGUUCGGAAGGGAUAACCGCUGAAAGCAUCUAAGCGGGAAGCCUACCUCAAGAUAAGAUUUCCCUAGGACUUUAUGUCCUCUAAAGAGCCGUUCGAGACUAGGACGUUGAUAGGUUGGAUGUGGAAGCAUAGUGAUAUGUGAAGCUGACCAAUACUAAUUGCUCGUGAGGCUUGACUAU
rnacentral:rRNA from 1 species